rnacentral:tRNA from 3 species
AAAGAGUUAGUUAAACUAUAACAUAAAUAUGUCAAAUUUAAAUUAUUAUUUUCAUAUAAUAUUCUUUU